AUGGAGGACAACUGGAUUGUCUGGAACGUCAGGGGUUUGAAUAACCCGGCUAGGCGGACAGUAGUUAAGGUGUUGGUGUAUCGUAACAAUGUAUCCCUAGUGUGUUUGCAGGAGACAAAACUAUCGUUCAUUUAUAGGGUUGUGGUGAAUCAAUGUUGUGGCACUGAAUUCUCGACAUUUGCAUACCUAACGGCUGAGGGGUCAAGAGGAGGCGUGUUACUGGCAUGGAAAGGUGAUCAUUACACCGUGUCCAAUGUAACGGUGCAGGGGUGCUUGGUGACGGCAGCAGGAAACAAUGCUAAGGGGGGAGCCAGUGGGAAUUAUCGGAGUGUAUGGGCCACAAGACUGGGAAGAGAAACUUGCAUUCCUACGUGA
rnacentral:rRNA from 1 species